ACAUGUCCUUUAGUUUAUUUAUUUAAGGUCUAGCCUGCCCAAUGAGGUUUUGAAUGGCCGCAGUAUCCUAACUGUGCUAAGGUAGCAUAAUCAUUUGUCUUUUAAUUGAGGGCUUGUAUGAAAGGUUGGACAAGAUAUUAACUUUCUUUAAUUUAAUUUUAAGAACUUAAUUUUUAAGUUAAAAAGCUUAAAUUUUUUUGUUGGACGAGAAGACCCUAUAGAUCUUUAUAAUCUAAAGUUUUAAUAAUUUAGUGGUUUUUUUUUUAAAAUGGAAAGAUUAUUUUGUUGGGGUGACUGUAGAAUUUAAAUAACUUCUAUUUUUGUAUUUCAUUAAUUAAUGUUUUUUUGAUCCAUGUUUUGUGAUUAAAAGAUUAAGUUACCUUAGGGAUAACAGCGUAAUUUCUUUGGAGAGUUCAUAUUGAUAAAGGAGUUUGCGACCUCGAUGUUGGAUUAAAAUGAGUUAUGGAUGCAGAAGUCUAUAUACUGGGUCUUUCGACCCUUAAUUUUUUACAUGAUCUGAGUUCAGACCGGCGUAAGCCAG
rnacentral:rRNA from 1 species